CCUGACUGAUCCAGCCGAAGCUGAGGUUGCCCUUCAGAAUGAAGUCAAGCUCAUCCAGGGUGCCCAAGGAGGGGAUGUCACAGCGGAGGUGCAGGCAGUCGGCGAUGGCGCAGUCCUGGGGGCAGGAGGGGGAUAAAGCUGAGGAGGAGGAGGGCCUUUACUUAGAAAGAGACAAAAAGAUGAAACAAAGGCUGGCAUUGAGUAGAGAAUAUACAAUCGCAGGCUGACUACACAGUCAGAGUCAUCAGUGCAUUCCGUGCGUGUCCCCAGCACACGGGCUUUUCUCACCAGCACAGAGCGUCCUUGGAUCUGGGUCAGAAGGUCGGAAUGUUGAGGAGGUUCCCUCUGUGACACACAGGAGACACCCUAGGAGUGGGGGAGGUGAUCAGAGCAUGGCAUCCUUAUAGAGAGGGAUUCUGGAGAGAGAACUGCUACGGGCUGUGUACCUGUGCUGGGCUCCUCAGAGUCACAUCCCACACGGCCACACCAUUCAGAAGGAUGGGGACCCAGAAGUUAACGCUGAUGGCCAGCGUCAAUGGACUCAGGUUAUUCACCUGCAGGAGUGGAGACCAGCUUCUCACACGAUAUCGAUGUUCGGCCUCUUUCUGUCUCUCCCCGUGGGAAGAUGAGAAGUUGAAAUGCUUGGUAGAAUCUUCCUGCCUGGAGAGAAUGACAUGUUAGUGAGAAACCGCUCCGACGCCAUCUCCGUUUGAAUCCCAGCUCGCUGUACAGUACUGGGUCCAGCAGCUGAUGCAGGGAAACAACGAUGGUCUUCAAAUGCAUCUGCAGCCUCGGUGCCAGCUUCCACUCCUCUCCCCACAGAGCCUUGCCAGGCACCGGAGUUACCAGCUCUUCCCUUGAUGCGCUGACUUCUUUAUGCCCCCAAAGAUCUGUUCCAGCUUUCUUUGGCAGGAAAUGUUCUUAACCGAGUUCCAGGGAUUUUCACUCAGAGACCCAGCAUCUGCACAUUCCUUGUACUGAUUGAUCGCCAUUUCCCAGUGGUGAGAAAGCGCUUGUAUGCCCCCUCUAGCUGGUAGUCCAUCAGAUGGGAGGUGGCCUCAGGAACGCCUACAAAGUCUUCUGCCAGAAUAAAUAAGCCUAUGGGACUCUACAAAGGGAAGGCUAGAUUACUUGGGACAAAUGGAGUGACCCUGUCUCUGGUGGCAGGCAUGAAAGCAGAUAUAGUCGUGUUGGGGCAGGCAAACACAUAUGGAAGGAGUUGGCCCAGGAACUCAAGCCAAGAGGGUCCCUAAAUGCCGACAGGUUCCUAUCUACUGGUUGUAUUUGUGAGAUAGGCUCAAGUCAUAGCCUAGACACGCCUUAAAUUCACAGCGAUCUUCCUACACCUGCCUUCCAGAUGCAAAGAUUAUGACACAUCUGGCUUACCCAUGGCUUUCAGUAGACAUUUGCUAUGUUACAAAAGAUGGUGGGAGGGGCACAGGAGGAAUAGGAGGGGAGAGAGAGUGAGGGAGUAGGAUGUGUAAAUACAUUACUCAUGUAUGAAAUUAUCAAAAAUAAAAAUGUAAAUUAAAUAACGAAGAACAUAUUUACCUUUGAAAAUGUAUUAUCUAAUACCACUGCUCAUAUGAGUAAAAUGUUUCACACACACAAGUCUUUUUGUGGGGCGUUUGGACAGUCCUGGGGAUUUCAGAAGUUAAGCCGUG
rnacentral:lncRNA from 1 species